rnacentral:lncRNA from 1 species
GUGACAAUGAAGACUGAGGUGUCUGCUUUGCAGUUUUUUUUUUUCUUUUCUUGUCUUUUUUUUUUUUUUUCCUAAUCAUGUGGACAUCUCUGAGAAUGAGGGGACUGGGUGACUUUGCAGUGUCUGCUUUCUAAGUUUCAAAGUGACUUUCCAGGCAAGCUGCGCAUAUCUUGGGAUCUUCACAGCACAGUGGCUGGGAAGGCAGGCGGACCCGUCUAUCAGCUUCUCCCUGGUCACAGAAUUGUGGGUGAUGAGUUCUUUGUUCUAGAACUUCCUGUGUAAUGAAACUGCCAUCCAUAAUUGUUUUCCUGUGGACUGCUUAUUAAAAGAAGUGAUUUUUGAUGAACUAAACUAGGUGGGAUUCUUGCGGGGGCAGGGAUCGAGUCAAACCUUGGAAAUGACGUCAUUCUGAACUCAUCUGCCUUUAUCCAGAAGACUACCAAAGCAAACCAGAGGACCAGAGAACAGCAGCUGCUCUGGACAAAGAGGGGAGGACACCCACACCCACAUACCAAGUUCUGGUUGACUUCUACAGCAGAAGAAGCAGGAGACACAAGAAGACUCAGAGGGACUGAAAUAUAAGAAGAUCGAUGCCAGAUGUUGUUGUGAUGACAACCUGUUGGGUUGAAGGACCCCAGGAAGACACAGUCCAGAUUCACAGGGACAGAGCCACUCACCUAUUGUCACAUGCAGCACAGAAUAAUGCAGAGGCAUGGCAUCAUAACAAUUCCUGAAUGGUGCUUCUCAGAAGAUGGUACUUCUUGGGGUCUGGUACCUGGACUAGUGAGGCUUCUCAGGGGAUGGGACCCCAACCCAGAAUGACAACAUCACCUGAUAACUUCAUCUUCAUCAUUAUCAUCAUCAUCAUCAUUGUUGUUAUUCCUUUUGUUUUGUUUUGAGAUUGUAAUAAAAUUAUAUCAUUUCUCCAUUGCC